rnacentral:rRNA from 1 species
GGAGUUAGCCGGUGCUUCUUCUGUGAGUGAUGUCCUUCCUGCCGGCUAUUAACCCGCAGGCCUUCUUCCUCACUGAAAGUGCUUUACAACCCGAAGGCCUUCUUCACACACGCGGCAUGGCUGGAUCAGGGUUGCCCCCAUUGUCCAAUAUUCCCCACUGCUGCCUCCCGUAGGAGUCUGGGCCGUGUCUCAGUCCCAGUGUGGCUGAUCAUCCUCUCAGACCAGCUACGGAUCGUCGCCUUGGUGAGCCGUUACCUCACCAACCAGCUAAUCCGACAUAGGCUCAUCCGAUAGCGCGAGGCCCGAAGGUCCCCCGCUUUCCCCCGUAGGGCGUAUGCGGUAUUAGCCUGGGUUUCCCCAGGUUAUCCCCCACUACCGGGCAGAUUCCUAUGCAUUACUCACCCGUCCGCCGCUCGCCACCAGGGAGCAAGCUCCCCGUGCUGCCGCUCGACUUGCAUGUGUUAGGCCUGCCGCCAGCGUUCAAUCUGAGCCAGGAUCAAACUCU